rnacentral:sRNA from 1 species
CUGCUGCAGUCCCCGCCGGCUCCUCUUUUCCAGUCCUCCAUUGCCGGGGCUGGGCCCGGCCGGGGGAAGGACCGAAGGGGAUCCAGCGUGUCCCUACGGCGGCUGCAAGAGGACUAAGCAUGGAUGGCAGCCGGAGAGUCAGAGCAACCUCUGUCCUUCCCAGAUAUGGUCCACCGUGCCUAUUUAAAGGACACUUGAGCACCAAAAGUAAUGCUUUUUGCACUGACUCCUCUUCUCUCAGACUAAGCACUCUCCAGCUGGUCAAGAAUCACAUGGCUGUUCACUAUAAUAAAAUCCUUUCAGCCAAAGGUAAAAAUGUGCAAAUGUGAACUCUCUGUACUCAAUUUAAACCUCCAGCUUCACUUCUCAUUAAAAUAUAUCUAUAGCAAAAAUGAAUACCUUAUAUAUAUGAGAGGAUUUGUAUCUGUUUGGUUUAGUGUGAUACAAACUGUUGACU